UUCACCCAGAAGUAGGAAACUAGGGAAGUAUGUUCUGUUCACUACCAAUCUAAACUACGCUACUUACAAAACCCAUGUAACAUGCAUCAGUUGGACUUUCUGAACGUCUGUACCUUGCCAUCGUCAGACAAAUAUGCCAGCAUGACAAAGCAAAGAAAGUUCUCCAAACACUGAGCUAUGGUUGCAAGCCUGCAGCUCACUACAGCAAGUAAAAAGAAGAAAUAUUUAUCUACAUGUUGCUGCAACCUGGAGAAAGAAAAAAAGAAAAUCAAAGAAUUCCAGACAGAAGGGAGACAUUUGUGACCAGCUCUCCUACAAGACACCUUUAAAGAAGCAGAACAAAAUUAAGAUUCUACUGAUGUGCAGAAACCAACCAAAAAAACCUACUUUCCUGUGCAUUGUACAAAUGCCACGGCAAGAGAGUUAUUCUCCCAAAUUGCUUUCAGUCUACAAUUUUGGAUAUGGGAGCUGAAACCUGUCAUGACCCAAAGGUCUGAUUUUUUUUUUGUGUGCGCUUCGGCACUAAGAAUUAUCCCCGUGGGUUUGCAACUUCAUUGCACAGAGGAGUUCUGCUGCGCAGAGAACCCGCGUGCAGGGAAGUGUUCCUGCCACUCUUCAGCGAUCUUUGCAGGGUGCAUUUCCUUUGCAGCACAGAAAUGCACGGUGCAAAGGUUUCCCGCUCGUCGUAUGCAAAUUCGUGCCCCGCAAUUGGCUAGUGCUAAAUUAUUCACACGUGGCGGCUAACGAUUGGCCUGCUAGCCGUAUAAGAGGCUUGAGCAGUUUCCGCCCAAGCCGAAGAGGACUCCGCAUCCAUCUCGUGGGGACUCUGGGUGUGCGCGGCAGGGUAAUAGAAACCCUGUGUGUCGCUCAGAGGAGUUUGGCGGCCUGAUCCACCGCCCACCUCUUCCCGUCUUCGAACGGAGCCUACUAUAAGACGUAACGACGAGUUUAAUGCGCGCUUGUCCUGGACAUCCGGAGUUUGUCUGCGUGGAGCCUUGCAACCUCCACGUGUUCGUGUUUUUUGUUGUAACUGCAACUCAAGCAAGUUUUCAGCCUACACCACGACCAUCUCGGUGCAAGUAAAAUAAUCUUAAAAUCAACCGUUACGUGUCUGUGCCUAAUUCUAGCUCGGCGCCCGCCCUCUCCGACCCGGCCUGCCCGGGCUGCUGGCCACAGCCCGCGUGCAGAGCGACGAAAGCGACCCGGGGUCAGA